GAGGCUGCGCGGCGGGGGCCGCCGGCCCGGGGCGGCGAUGGCUGCGGAUCUGGUGGUGCUGCUCUGCCUGGCCGCCGCCGCGGCCGCCGUGGAAGGUGAGGCGGGGGACGAGCGGCCGGGGGCGGGAGGCGGCUUCGGGAUAGAGCGGGAGUGGGGGGGGGGUCGCGCUGCUGGGAGAUCCCCCCGGAGCCGCGGGUCCCGCGGAGGGGCUCCGCGCCGCGCCCGGUGCGUUGCGGUUCGGGGAGGAGGAGCGGCCCGCGCGGUGCUGCGGGGCUGCCGCGGUGCGGUGCCGUUCCCCGCCCCACCUGUUGAGCACCGCGGGUGCGCCCCGCGCCCCCAACUCUUUGUUAGUCGGGCAGCGAACGUCGGCCCUUCCCGGAGCGUCGCACGUCGGCCCGGACGCGUCGCUCCGUGCCCCGUCUCCUCCGCGACCCCCGGGCGAUGCUCUCGGUUGGUACCGCUGCGGGUUGGAGCAGCGCAGCCCGCGGCUCUUCGCGUGCCGCCCGGACCCGGGGCGACCGCGCUCGGCGCACGGCGCGGCAGCGCUGGUCGGGCUGCGCGCAUCUCGACGACGGGGAGUGCCGAGGGGUCCGCGCUCAGGGAGAGCCCCCGUGUGCGGCUGCUGCUUCACCCACCCGUCGCAUCUCUGGUAGAGCGAGCCGGCGGCUGGCGUAGCUUUGCUUGCCCAUCCGGGUGGCAGCGGGUUUGGUGAUGCCCCGGAACCGUCCCCGCAGCCCCUUACAGCCCCGGUUACCUCUCCCGUUCUUUGGCUCGGGCGCGCAAUUGCUGCUCGCGUCCUUCGGUUACCACCGCUUCUGCCGGUGCUGCGUGGGGCGAGCGCUCCCCCGCCGCCUCUGCAGGGCUGUUCCUGCUGCUGUGCCCGGGGCUGAACCAGGGAUGCAUCUCCAGGGAUGUUGCCAGUCCUGGGCUUCUGCGCUCCCCAGAGCCAUCCCUUUUCUUUUUUACUUCUCCUUUUGUUAUAAUUCGCACAAUCUGGAAAGGAAAACCCAAGGGGAAGGAAGAACCUGGGCGCUGGCACGAGGAGCGCGCCCGGAUCCACCAGCCUGGAGGGAGAGCGUUUUGUUAAGUCAUGGGAACGGGCCCUCGCCCGCAGAUGCCUGCGCUGCUUUUUUUGACUAAUUGCUGGUAUCACUGACUCAUUAUUCCUUGUCUCGGUCGCCUUCCUGUUUCCCGCGUGCUUCGAGGCUCGGGGACGUAGGCGAGGGGAGGAUGAAGUUUCGGCGUCCCUGGGCGGUCCUCUGCUGCUUCCCGCAGCAAAACCCAUCGCGCUGGCACCGCACCUGCGGCUGAAUUCCAUCUCGUUUCUCCUCCUUAAGAAACCCUGAUGGACACACGGACAGCGACGGCUGAGCUGGGCUGGACUGCCAACCCUCCGUCAGGGUGGGAAGAAGUGAGUGGCUACGACGAGAACCUGAACACCAUCCGUACGUACCAGGUGUGCAACGUCUUCGAGCCAAACCAGAACAACUGGCUCCUCACCACCUUCAUCAACCGGCGCGGAGCCCACCGCAUCUACACUGAGAUGCGCUUCACUGUGCGGGACUGCAGCAGCCUCCCCAACGUCCCCGGCUCCUGCAAGGAGACCUUCAACCUCUACUACUAUGAGACAGACUCUGUCAUUGCCACUAAGAAGUCGGCCUUCUGGACGGAGGCACCCUACCUCAAAGUGGACACCAUUGCUGCUGACGAGAGCUUUUCCCAGGUGGACUUUGGUGGCAGGUUGAUGAAGGUGAACACAGAAGUGAGAAGUUUUGGGCCCCUGACCCGCAAUGGCUUUUACCUGGCUUUCCAGGACUACGGGGCUUGCAUGUCUUUGCUCUCCGUCAGGGUUUUCUUCAAGAAGUGCCCAAGCGUGGUGCAGAACUUCGCUAUCUUCCCUGAGACGAUGACGGGGGCAGAGAGCACCUCUCUGGUGACAGCACGGGGCACCUGCAUCCCCAACGCUGAGGAGGUGGACGUGCCCAUCAAGCUGUACUGCAACGGGGAUGGGGAGUGGAUGGUACCCAUAGGUCGCUGCACCUGCAAGGCUGGUUAUGAGCCGGAAAACAACGUGGCUUGCAGAGCCUGCCCGGCUGGGACAUUCAAAGCCAGUCAGGGUGCGGGGCUGUGUGCCCCGUGUCCCCCCAACAGCCGCUCCAGCGCCGAGGCCUCACCUCUCUGCGCCUGCCGCAACGGCUACUUUCGGGCUGACCUGGACCCACCGACAGCUGCCUGCACCAGCGUCCCCUCUGGUCCACGCAACGUCAUCUCCAUUGUCAAUGAGACCUCCAUCAUCCUGGAGUGGAACCCGCCACGGGAGACAGGAGGCCGGGAUGAUGUCACUUACAACAUUGUCUGCAAGAAGUGCCGGGCAGACCGGCGUGCCUGCUCCCGCUGCGACGACAACGUGGAGUUUGUGCCCCGACAGCUGGGGCUGACAGAGACCCGCGUCUUCAUCAGCAGCCUCUGGGCACACACACCCUACACCUUUGAGAUCCAGGCGGUCAACGGGGUUUCCAACAAGAGCCCCUUCCCACCCCAGCACGUCUCCGUGAACAUCACCACCAACCAAGCUGCACCCUCCACUGUCCCCAUCAUGCACCAGGUGAGUGCCACCAUGAGGAGCAUCACGCUAUCCUGGCCGCAGCCGGAGCAGCCCAACGGCAUCAUCCUGGACUACGAGCUGCGCUACUACGAGAAGCUGAGCCGCAUCUGCACGCCCGAUGUCAGCGGCACUGUGGGCUCGAGACCGGCGGCGGACCACAACGAGUACAACUCCUCUGUGGCCCGCAGUCAGACCAACACGGCCCGGCUGGAGGGGCUGCGCCCUGGCAUGGUGUACGUGGUGCAGGUGCGAGCAAGGACGGUGGCCGGCUAUGGGAAGUACAGUGGGAAGAUGUGCUUCCAGACACUGACCGAUGAUGACUACAAGUCUGAGCUGAGGGAGCAGCUGCCAUUGAUUGCGGGGUCUGCAGCGGCCGGCGUGGUCUUCAUUGUUUCGCUGGUGGCCAUUUCCAUAGUGUGCAGCAGGAAGCGAGCGUACAGCAAGGAGGCGGUUUACAGCGAUAAGCUGCAGCACUACAGCACCGGGAGAGGGUCUCCGGGAAUGAAGAUUUACAUCGACCCCUUCACUUAUGAGGACCCCAACGAGGCGGUGCGUGAGUUUGCCAAGGAGAUCGACGUCUCCUUUGUGAAGAUUGAAGAGGUCAUUGGAGCAGGGGAGUUUGGAGAGGUGUACAAAGGCCGCCUGAAGUUGCCUGGCAAGCGGGAGAUCUAUGUGGCCAUCAAAACACUGAAGGCUGGCUACUCAGAGAAGCAGCGCCGGGAUUUCCUGAGCGAAGCCAGCAUCAUGGGGCAGUUUGACCACCCCAACAUCAUCCGGCUGGAAGGGGUGGUGACCAAGAGCCGACCAGUCAUGAUUAUCACAGAGUUCAUGGAGAAUGGGGCCCUGGACUCGUUCCUGCGGCAAAAUGAUGGGCAGUUCACAGUGAUCCAGCUGGUGGGGAUGCUCAGAGGGAUUGCUGCUGGGAUGAAGUACCUGGCAGAGAUGAACUAUGUCCACAGGGAUCUGGCGGCCAGGAACAUUCUGGUCAACAGCAACCUGGUGUGCAAAGUGUCAGACUUUGGCCUCUCGCGCUACCUGCAGGACGACACCUCUGAUCCCACCUACACCAGCUCCUUGGGUGGGAAGAUCCCUGUGCGAUGGACAGCACCAGAGGCCAUUGCGUACCGCAAGUUCACGUCAGCCAGUGACGUCUGGAGCUAUGGCAUCGUCAUGUGGGAGGUGAUGUCGUUCGGAGAGAGGCCCUACUGGGACAUGUCCAACCAGGACGUCAUCAAUGCCAUCGAGCAGGACUACCGGCUCCCGCCGCCCAUGGACUGCCCAGCUGCCCUGCACCAACUGAUGCUGGACUGCUGGCAGAAGGACCGCAACACCCGGCCUCGCUUCGCCGAGAUUGUCAACACCCUGGACAAAAUGAUCCGCAACCCGGCAAGCCUCAAAACUGUGGCUACCAUCACCGCUGUGCCUUCUCAGCCCCUCCUCGACCGCUCUAUCCCUGAUUUCACUGCCUUUACCUCAGUAGAAGACUGGCUGAGUGCCGUCAAGAUGAGCCAGUAUAGAGACAACUUCCUGAGCGCUGGAUUCACCUCCCUCCAGCUGGUCGCCCAGAUGACAUCUGAAGACCUCCUGAGAAUAGGAGUAACGCUGGCUGGGCACCAGAAGAAGAUCCUGAACAGCAUCCAGUCCAUGCGCGUGCAGAUGAGUCAGUCUCCGACCUCGAUGGCGUGACGUCCCUCGCUCGACGGGGAGGGGACGGGGAGGGCAGGUGGCAGAGGUGGGAGGGGAGGAACUGAUCUGAUGGGAGCCGUGGGGCCGCAGCUGGAGAGGGGCAGCCACGGCCGGGGCUGUGCCUGACCGCGGAGGACGCUCCUGGGACUCGCCUCGGCCUGGUGACUUCCAUCCCUCACCAACAGAAGCACACUUACCGAUGUCACGGGGGACAGCGUAUAAAUAAGUAUAAAUAUGUACAAAUCAUAUAUUUAAAAAAAUGAAAGAAAAAACCACACAAAAAAAAACAAACCCCAACCAACAGUGAAGACAAACCAAUGUGCGUUGGGGAAAACGAACCCAAAUCCUAGAGACCAGACUCCAAUCCCACCACCAGUGAGCAGUUGUCAUAACUGAGGAGGAGGAGGCAGGGGCUGCUGGGGAAGGGAGUGGCAUCGCAUUGGGUUUCCCAUCCAGAGAAGCCACCGGCAGCGACCGCCUUGAUCUUCUUUUCUUCCUUGACUCCUUCCUACUGCCCCGCUCCCUUCUCUGCUCAUGGCCUGGUGGAAGCCUCCGCAGCCGCUGACCGUGGUGUCCAGGUGUCGCUCUGCCAACUACCAAAGGACUUCGCUGACCACUGCAUGGGGGAUCCGACGCAAUCCAGUUAAUGUCUUCAUAUUGAAGAAGAGAUGUACCUUCAAUAGAAAAAACUUUGGGUUUUUUUUCUUUUGCUUGCAUUUUUUUGCAAAAAGGGAAAAAAAAAAAAAAAACGUACAAAAAAAAAAAAAUCCAUCAUGGCAAAUGGAAAGAGGUGUUCCCAUGUGUGUGUGUGUGUGCGCGCGUGUACGUUGUCAACCUACUGUGGACUUGCUGCUUGCCCGUGACCGGAGAUCACCACCAACCCCAGUGCAGGUGGGAGGAGGAGGAGCUGCGGUGCGUGGGUACUGGGUUGAGGAGGAGGAGGAGGAGAGAUGCUCUGGGGAAGAGACUGCUGAGGCCUCCAGAGCCUCGGGGAUCUGCAGAAGAUGGCUACGGAGAACUUUAUUUCCCCCAUCCUGUGGACCUAAGGAUUUUGAUAUUGAGUUACAGACUUAGGUUUCAUGGCUUCAGAGGGGCACAGAAGCACCGGCAGCACCGCCUCCUCCACCGCCCAUGGGACGAGCAGGGACGUCUGCAGGGCUGUGAGACGGUGGGACCUGCAGCACCCCGUCCUGUACAUAACCCGUGAGCUGUCUGUAACAGGUUUUCACCCCUUGUAAUUUCUUUUAUUUUUGGUUUUAAUUUUUCUUUUCUUUUUUCUUUUUCUUUCUUUUUUUUUUUUUUAAUGCCCCUUCCCUGGUUUGUCAAUUGUGUUGAAAUCGUCGGAGUUUGUAACGGUAACUUUCAGAGGAUAUUGUACUAAAGAGAUAAUUGCACUCAAUAAAAACUAUGAAAUAA